rnacentral:rRNA from 1 species
UGGUCAAGUUAUUAAGGGUGCAGGGCGGAUGCCUUGGCACUAGGAGCCGAUGAAGGACGUGAUAAGCUGCGAUAAGCUUCGGGGAGUUGCACGUAAACUUUGAUCCGAAGAUUUCCGAAUGAGGAAACUCACUUAGAGUAAUGUCUAAGUAUCAUUAAGUGAAUACAUAGCUUAAUGAGGGGAACUCAGGGAACUGAAACAUCUAAGUACCUGAAGGAAGAGAAAGAAAUUCGAUUCCGUAAGUAGCGGCGAGCGAACGCGGAUUAGCCCAAACCAAUAAAG